UCUGCCAAGGACAUUAUAUGACAUUUGACACUUAAGCAAGACAUCUCACAAGUGCAGACAUACCCCCAAAAUGUUUUCCGUUUCAGAGGAAAAUACAACUGCAGUUCAGAAAAGACAUUUGUUCAUCCCCCAAAACUAGGUUUCUGACCUUUUGAGAGGAGCCCUAAACUAAGGUGUUAUAUAACCCCCUGCACCCUGCUUGUGGCUCAGUGUUGAGCUAUGAAGAUGAGGUCACUGCUGCUUGUCUGCCUGAUUGUGGUCACACUGACUGUGGCUAUUGCUGCCCCCAAGCAAGAGGGGUCUGAAACGGGCAAAGGAAAAAAGAUUUGUAAAAAAAGACCUGCUUCUCCUGGUGUUGUAUCCUUGCUGGACGGAGAUGGUGAAGAUGCUGGAGGCGGCCAAGCCAGCACAGUAUGGGGUAGAUUUGACAAGGGACAAGAAAAGAAGGCCACCUCCCCUCCAGACAUUCCGAUCAGAGAAAAGAGACAAUUCGAAGCCAACCCAAAGAGACGUCCAAGACCUUGUCUGGGCUGCCUAUCUGUAAUAUCAGCUAAAAAGGAGGCUCCUGUAACAGUAAGUUAUCUUUCCUGUAGCCAUUCCCUAGACUGCAGUGUUAUGUGGCACUUCAUUACCAAAUCAAUCAGAAAACAUGUCACCUUCAGUUAGUC